CUCGUUCCAAACCCUCCUCUUCAAGUCAGAGCUGUUAAGCUCUUCCGGGGAAAGAAGCCUCUCUUCCAUUGAAUUAUCCAUGAUCCUUUUAAGUAUUCUUUGAGGCUUAAACCGAUGGAAGUUUGCUUCGAAGCUGGACUUAUGGUGUCCACAGAGA